rfam:Triticum aestivum genome assembly, contig: Triticum_aestivum_CS42_TGACv1_scaffold_321404_4BL
UUCUGCGUGAUGAAGAAAAUCAUUCGGAUUCCCACUAAUACUUCAUGAUUAUCAGAACCAGCUACUUCUGACAAAC